UGAGGAAUCUUCCACAAUGGACGAAAGUCUGAUGGAGCGACACCGCGUGGAGGAUGAAGGUCUAACGACUGUAAACUCCUUUUCUGAAGGAGCAUAAUGAGAGUACUUCAGGAAUAAGGGACGGCUAAUUAUGUGCCAGCAGCCGCGGUAAUACAUAAGUCCCAAGCGUUACCCGGAAUUAUUGGGUGUAAAGGGUUUGUAGGCGGACAAGCAAGUUAGAUAUUAAAGACCGAGGCUCAACCUCGAGUUAGUGUUUAAAACUACUUGUCUAGAAUCAGGGAGAGGUUAGCGGAAUUCUGAGUGUAGGGUGCAAUCCGUAGAUACUCAGAGGAACACCAAAAGCGAAGGCA
rnacentral:rRNA from 1 species